AUUGAACGCUGGCGGCAGGCCUAACACAUGCAAGUCGAACGAGUGGCGGACGGGUGCGUAAUGUCUGGGAAACUGCCCGAUGGAUGGGGAUAACUACUGGAAACGGUAGCUAAUACCGCAUACCAUCGGUUGUCCCCAGAUGUGAUUAGCUAGUAGGUGGGGUAACGGCUCACCUAGGCGACGAUCCCUAGCUGGUCUGAGAGGAUGACCAGCCACACUGGAACUGAGACACGGUCCAGACUCCUACGGGAGGCAGCAGUGGGGAAUAUUGCACAAUGGGCGCAAGCCUGAUGCAGCCAUGCCGCGUGUAUGAAGAAGGCCUUCGGGUUGUAAAGUACUUUCAGCGGGGAGGCGUUACCCGCAGAAGAAGCACCGGCUAACUCCGUGCCAGCCGCCGCGGUAAUAC
rnacentral:rRNA from 1 species